UAGUGGCAAGAGACUGUAGUUCACACGGGAGCUUUGACCUGCUCCAUUUCCGACCUCGGCAGAUUCACCCCUCCUUAGGCAACCUGGUGUUCCCCCGCUCCCGGGAGGUCACCAUGUUGAUGCCGAACUUAGCGCGGACACCCGAUCGGCAUAGCACACUGCAGCCCAGAA